AACCGGCCGUUACCGCAGCUAGAGGCUCGGACGCUCCGAGCCUAAAGGGCGUUACCCGAGCUUAGAUAAAACGGAGCGUUCCUUGUGCUCCCUUCUCCUGAACAGAGAAAGAAGACGAGGACGCGAGCUUGGGACUUAUAUUCCAAGGAAGGUGAAUUUUAGGUUAUUGAUAGUUAGGUUGGUGAUUUCGAGCUCCAAGAAGGAAUCUUUGUGGUGAAGCAAGAGAAAAGAGGGAGUUUUAUUGUGAAUUUUGCAGAGGUUGUAUAACCCAAGGUUUAUUUUGGUAAUGGGGGAACAUCUUGUGUUGAAUGUUGACCGUCUGGAAACGCCACAGCACAUUGAAACAAAAAGGGGAAAGGAGGGUUCGAGUUCCUCAGAGGAAGCUACAGAUGGCCCCUCCGUUCCUUCGCCUUUGCCGGUUGGUUCUAGCAAGGAUAAGGAGGAGGAGGAGGAGGAACAUAUAGAUGAUGAUGAGGAGGAGCCUCUUAUUCGGAUGGUGGAGUGUCGUAUUUGCCAGGAAGAGGAUCACAUUAAAAAUCUGGAGACCCCUUGUGGAUGCAAUGGCAGUCUGAAGUAUGCUCAUAGGGCAUGCGUGCAGCACUGGUGUAAUGAGAAAGGAGAUAUAACCUGUGAGAUCUGCCAUGAGCAAUACAAGCCUGGGUACACCGCACCUCCCCGAGUCCACCCUGAUGAAACUGCUAUUGACAUCAGUGGAGAUUGGACCAUCACUGGUGCCCCGUUGGAUCUGCAUGACCAUCGGAUCCUUGCGAUGGCAGCGGCUCAGCGCCACUUCCUUGAAGCCGAGUAUGAUGACUAUGCUGAUACAAAUGCCAGCGGUGCUGCAUUUUGCCGCUCUGCUGCUCUAAUUUUAAUGGCUCUUCUGCUGUUGAGGCAUGCACUGACCAUUACCAAUGGUGAUGAAGAUGAUGAUGCUUCUGCAAUUUUUUCGCUUUUUCUGCUGAGGGCUGCUGGAUUUCUAUUACCAUGCUACAUCAUGGCUUGGGCCAUAAGUAUCUUGCAGCGUAGAAGGCAAAGACAGGGAAGAUACAGGUUAACCUGAUGGUACUUUCUUUUAUAUUCAUAUCAAUAAAGCCGGAACCGGAAUCGGUUCUCGUGUCGGCCGGCUGGCGGUAGGAGCUGGUACGGAUCCGUACUGGACCGAAUCAACGCGAACCAACACGGGUGAGAAGAAAAGAACCAGGGAGGAAGAGAGAGAGGGGAGGAAAGAAAGAAAAGGAGAGAGAGGAAGCUGCUGAAGAGGUUGCCGUGGCCGUUCCGCAUCCUUCGCAUCCUUUGGCAGCCUUUCCGUUGGCUGCACGUCCCUUCGGAAGCAGCUGCCUUAGCAGCAACGGAGGUGGCAUUCAUACUGCAGUCAGGGGAAGCUAGGGGUCUGCAGUUCACCAUAUCACCCGACUCACCCACCACUCCCCAGCAGGAGCCACACCAAUAGGGGUUGCCAACCUGCUGUGCAAGCUGGGGUGAGCUUUGAGACGAGUUGUAGCGGCAGUGAAUGGUCACCCGAGCGUUCUGAAAAGAGACGAAUACCUUUUUCUUCUGUUAUUUAGGAAUCUCAAAUUUCACUUCUUAGAUUCGAUGCUUUAAAAAUCUUUCUGUAGAUAUAUUUCAAAUGUCAUGAGGUUGUUUUCAGAUUUCACAUGUUAAUAAAGACAAAAAAAAGAGAGAAAAAGCAUGUGGAUGGUUAGAUUUCUCUUGAAGAUUAAACAAUACGUCAAAUUUGUUGUCGGAUGAAACUUGGAUUGUAAAAUUUGUAUUGCACUAUGUGGAGCUAAUAUUUGCAGGUUUAGAUCUUCCGUA